AUGAAAUCAAAGGGGAGAGGGAAAGGGGAGGGCACGCACGUAGGUGUUGAGCUGCCUGACGAAGGAGGAGAAGUUGUUGUGCUUGAAGUACUUGGGGAGGAGGUCCCGGGCGAACUCGGGCGUGUUCCACACGAUGAAGCUGUUGUUGGCCGGCCCCCAGGAGACGACGGCGUCCGUGGCCGGGUCGUCCACCAUGUCGUACGUCUUCAUCAGGAACGGCGGCGGCGCGCCCGCCCCCGCCGCCCCGGGAGGCGCGACCGCCGUGGUCACCGUCGACGCCGCCGCGGCCGCGGCGGCCGCAGCAGCUACCCCGCCGUCCAUCGCCGCGCCCGAUCCGUACGGCCUCGGAGCUCAGCCCCGCCCCGCGGGAACACCACCAGCCGGACCGGAGGGAGCUCCUCCGAUUGGAGCAGUGGGGGAUUUGGGGGUGGGGAUUGA
rnacentral:rRNA from 1 species